CCAGACUCCUACGGGAGGCAGCAGUGAGGAAUAUUGGUCAAUGGGCGCGAGCCUGAACCAGCCAAGUCGCGUGAGGGAGGACGGCCCUACGGGUUGUAAACCUCUUUUGCCGGGGAGCAACGGGCGUCACGUGUGGCGCCACUGAGAGUACCCGGAGAAAAAGCAUCGGCUAACUCCGUGCCAGCAGCCGCGGCAAUACGGAGGAUGCGAGCGUUAUCCGGAUUUAUUGGGUUUAAAGGGUGCGUAGGCGGUGUUUUAACUCAGUGGUCAAUGUGGGGGCCUCCCCCCCUUCCCGCCAUUGAAACUGGCGUUCUUGAGUGGAAGAGAAGUAUGCGGAAUGCGUGGUGUAGCGGUGAAAUGCAUAGAUAUCACGCAGAACCCCGAUUGCGAAGGCAGCAUGCCGGCUUCCGACUGACGCUGAAGCACGAAAGCGUGGGGAUCGAACAGGAUUAGAUCCCCGAGUACG
rnacentral:rRNA from 1 species